rnacentral:rRNA from 1 species
CCUACGGGGCGCGAGCGCAUCCUUUCACUGCACGAAGUGCGAUARGGGAACCAAGUGCGCAGGGCAUASAGCCUACGCUUUUGUCCACCGUAGGGAGGUGGACGAAUAAGGGCUGGGCAAGACCGGUGCCAGCCGCCGCGGUAAUACCGGCAGYYCGAGUGAUGGCCGAUCUUAUUGGGCCUAAAGCGUCCGUAGCUGGCCGCAAUAGUCCAUCGGAAAAUCCACCCGCUCAACGGGUGGGCGUCCGGUGGAAACUGUGUGGCUUGGGACCGGAAGGCGCGACGGGUACGUCCGGGGUAGGAGUGAAAUCCUGUAAUCCUGGACGGACCRYCGAUGGCGAAAGCACGUCKCGAAGACGGAUCCKACAGUGAGGAACGAAAGCUGGGGUCCCGAACCGGAUUAGAUACCCGGGUAGUCCYAGCCGUAAACAAUGCCUGCUAGGUGUGGCUCCCAACUACGARUGGGYGCUGUGCCGYAGGGAAGCCGMUAAGCAGGCCGCCUGGGAAGUACGUYCGCAAGRAUGAAACUUAAAGGAAUUGGCGGGGGAGCACUACAACCGGAGGAGCCUGCGGUUUAAUUGGAKUCACGCCCGGAA